GACGUAGGGCGCAAGCGUUGUCCGGAUUUAUUGGGCGUAAAGAGCUCGUAGGCGGCUUGUCGCGUCGACUGUGAAAACCCGCAGCUCAACUGUGGGCUUGCAGCCGAUACGGGCGGGCUAGAGUUCGGUAGGGGAGAGUGGAAUUCCUGGUGUAGCGGUGAAAUGCGCAGAUAUCAGGAAGAACACCCGUGGCGAAGGCGGCUCUCUGGUACGUGACUGACGCUGAGACGCGAAAGCGUGGGGAGCGAACAGG
rnacentral:rRNA from 1 species